rnacentral:misc_RNA from 1 species
UCCGGUUUAACACCGGCAGUCUCCAUAGAGUGCCCAACUAAAUGAUGGCAACUAGGGAUAAGGGUUGCGCUCGUUAAGGGACUUAACCCGACAUCUCACGAUACGAGCUGACGACAGCCAUGCAGCACCUAAACCACAGGUCUCCGAAGAGAAAAUCCUAUCUCUAGGACUGUCCUGUGUUGUCUAACCCAGGUAAGGUUCUUCGCGUUGCAUCGAAUUAAACCACAUGCUCCACCGCUUGUGCGGGCCCCCGUCAAUUCCUUUGAGUUUUAACCUUGCGGCCGUACUUCCCAGGCGGAGUACUUAAUGCGUUAGCUGCGGCACUGUAGGGGUCAAUUCCCACAACACCUAGUACUCAUCGUUUACAGCGUGGACUAC